GACGAACGCUGGCGGCGCGCCUAACACAUGCAAGUCGAACGGAGCAUUUGAGCUUGCUCAAAUGCUUAGUGGCGAACGGGUGAGUAACACGUGAGCAAUCUGCCUUCGAGUGGGGGACAACAGUUGGAAACGACUGCUAAUACCGCAUAAGACCACAGCUCCGCAUGGAGCAGCGGUCAAAGGNUUAUUCGCUUGAAGAUGAGCUCGCGUCCGAUUAGAUAGUUGGUGAGGUAACGGCCCACCAAGUCGACGAUCGGUAGCCGGACUGAGAGGUUGAUCGGCCACAUUGGGACUGAGAUACGGGCCCAGACUCCUACGGGAGGCAGCAGUGGGGAAUAUUGCACAAUGGGGGAAACCCUGAUGCAGUCGACGCCGCGUGGAGGAAGAAGGUC
rnacentral:rRNA from 1 species